rnacentral:lncRNA from 1 species
GUUCUUAAUGCUGGAAGAAGAAAUUAAAGCUCAAUCCAUGAUGGUGACACAACCACCCUGAUCCAUGUCCCUAUACAUGGAGAAAACGAAAGUUAUUAAACUGGUCAAACAUGUCUGAUGAGUCCUCUUCUGGUGUUUUAACAAAUCAAUUGGACAAAUGUUCUAUCAAGAUUGUACUUUUUAUUAGCAAGUGAAAAGGCAUAUGCUACAACACAAAAGUAAUAAUAUUACAUUAUCAUCACAUUUUCACAAAGAACCCAUGUGACACUUGAUCCGACAUCAACAUAGUAAAAAUUUUAAAAAUAAUAGUAAAUGUAUCUAUCCUCUAGUAUCACCUUUGUCUCUUGUGUGUACUUGAUUAUUCAAUUUAAAGUUUACUUAUCUUAGCUUUACAUAAAUGUACUCCAAAAUACAUAUCAUCUCUAAUGUGUGGCUCUUGCAAAGUAAAAAUAAAUUUUACUAACUUUAUGUCAUCAAACCAUCUAUUUUAGAACUUCUCAAGGACCUCCACACUCUUAUGGAAUGCUCUUCUUUAACCUAAGGGCAUUAUUUUGUUAUUUAUAUAGCGCCAACAAAUUCCGCAGAGCUUUACAGUGGGUUACCGAACAGACAUGUAGUUGUAACCAGACAAGUUGGACACACAGGAACAGAGGGGUUGAGGGUCCUGCUCAAUGAGCUUACAUGCUAGAGGGAGUGGGGUAAAGUAGCACAAAAGGUAAGGAUAGUAUUCGACUAAUGACAGUUGCAAGUGAGGAAUCAGCCAGGAGCUAUUAACAGUUUAAUUGAUAUGCUUUUAUGAAGAAGUGGGUUUUUAAUUAUUGUUUGAAGGAGUGGAGACCGAGUGAGCAUCUGCAUGUUUCGCGAAAUGUGAUCCUAUGUUAUGUUUUACUCUAUAUCUAAUGUUCUUUAUGUAAGUAAUAAAAGAUAUAAAAAAUUUAGCAUUUUAAACAAAUACUUACAAAUUACUUUUUUUCUUUCAAUAUCAUUAGAGAACAAAUUAAGUUGACCUGAAUUAACCCUGCAGUACUUCACUUACCACAUUUGUACAAAGUAUUUCCAUUAACGACUACUCUCUGCACUCCACCAAUGUUCAAUUCAAAACAAGCAUUUUCAUCCGAACCAACUUCUCUUGAUUUAUAAAGUAAAAUCCAUGUAGAUGACAUAUGACAACACCCUAUUCUAUACUUCUAUUAACUUUCAAAAAAAAUGCAAUUAUGUUUUUAUUGGCUUGUAUAUCUCGGCCUUUUGAUAUUCCUUCAAUGAGAAUUAAAACAUCAUCGUAAAUAUGCUGGGUGGAGACUACUCCAUGUAGAUUUACUAAGCUUUUUCAGAAUAUUCACCUUAAUUGUAUUUAUUUGGCACUUAUUUUGCAGAUACUUUAUAUGGCCAGACAUUUUAAACAAGAUAGUGAUUUUUGUUUGUAACCUGAUUUGAAAACAUACAAAGUUAUAAACAUUGAGUAGCUAAAGCAGCUCACUUGUUCUUUUACUAUUACUUUUCCAGUGUUUGCAAAGGAUGAUGAUGAAAUAGAGAGGCAUGUCAGUUCUUGUCUGAGCGAUUGUCAACUGCAUUAAUGUCAUUGCCAAGCUUCAACUACGGUUCAAUGCAAAAUGUCUACUGGAUUCUGCAUCUACAGUGAAAAAUCUAGCAAUGUUCCAUUUCUUCUGGUUGGUGUGUACUUCCCUAAUAUUUUUAUGACAACCUGCUGAGUGGGUGGAAUUGAUGCUUUAGAAGAUAAGAAAAAAUGUGAUCAAAACUUUUCUAAUAUAAUUCUAUUUUGGUAUUCACUGAGUGUGGUAUUAGGUUUAUUUUCU